rnacentral:rRNA from 1 species
GCGUAAGCGCACGCAGGCGGUCUGUCAAGUCGGAUGUGAAAUCCCCGGGCUCAACCUGGGAACUGCAUUCGAAACUGGCAGGCUAGAGUCUUGUAGAGGGGGGUAGAAUUCCAGGUGUAGCGGUGAAAUGCGUAGAGAUCUGGAGGAAUACCGGUGGCGAAGGCGGCCCCCUGGACAAAGACUGACGCUCAGGUGCGAAAGCGUGGGGAGCAAACAGGAUUAGAUACCCUGGUAGUCCACGCCGUAAACGAUGUCGAUUUGGAGGUUGUGCCCUUGAGGCGUGGCUUCCGGAGCUAACGCGUUAAAUCGACCGCCUGGGGAGUACGGCCGCAAGGUUAAAACUCAAAUGAAUUGACGGGGGCCCGCACAAGCGGUGGAGCAUGUGGUUUAAUUCGAUGCAACGCGAAGAACCUUACCUGGUCUUGACAUCCGCAGAACUUACCAGAGAUGCUUUGGUGCCUUCGGGAACUGUGAGACAGGUGCUGCAUGGCUGUCGUCAGCUCGUGUUGUGAAAUGUUGGGUUAAGUCCCGCAACGAGCGCAACCCUUAUCCUUUGUUGCCAGCGGUUAGGCCGGGAACUCAAAGGAGACUGCCAGUGAUAAACUGGAGGAAGGUGGGGAUGACGUCAAGUCAUCAU